rnacentral:tRNA from 1 species
ACCCCUAUUAAUGAAACUACACUUCACCGCCUAGACAUUCGGCCAUCUUACCUGUGUUCUUCAACCGUUGA